UUUUCGUCUCAAUUUCAAAAUUUUGCCUCUUUUUAUCUCUCUCUUAUAGAUACUUGAUGCAUUGUUCUUAACUUGUUUACGAUACUCUGUUUCUACUCGAUUCUUUCUAGAGGAAUAUUCAGAUGAUAUCCAAUCCCUAUUUUGGAUGAUGUAAAGCGACUACUUUAUCGAAGGACCUUAAGCAAUCUUCUUUACUUCGUUUUUCAAAUUGCAGAGUGUAAAGAUCUGAAUUUACGUCUUUUGCUUAAUGGAACAGUUAGGCACAAGUAGCUACUAUUGAGUUGUUAGCUAUUCGAAAAUAUAUGGCGUGAUUGAUUGAUGUGAUAUAAACUCAGUCAAUCGAUGCUGUCUGGACUUUUUUUUGGGUGAUUUGAGAGAUGCUAUUGUGUUUGGAUUCUAUUCCAGUUAGAAUUAGUUUUAUGGAGUCAACGAUAACAUUAGUUAUAGAAAUGUGUUUUUCUUUGACAAUCUUAGGAUAUGCUUGAAUGAUACUGUUAUUCCCUAGUAUGGUAAUAUGAUUGAGUAAGCAAAGCACAUAUUGAUGAUGCAUUGAGA
rnacentral:misc_RNA from 1 species